rnacentral:misc_RNA from 1 species
GAUGAAGAACGCAGCGAAAUGCGAUAAGUAGUGUGAAUUGCAGAAUUCAGUGAAUCAUCGAAUCUUUGAACGCACAUUGCGCCCCUUGGUAUUCCAUGGGGCAUGCCUGUUCGAGCGUCAUUUGUACCUUCAAGCUUUGCUUGGUGUUGGGUGUUUGUCCUGAGGGACUCGCCUUAAAGUAAUUGGCAGCCAGUGUUUUGGUUUUGAAGCGCAGCACAAGUCGCGAUUCAAAGCUAUACGCCAGCUUCCACAAGCCUUUUUCACUUUUGACCUCGGAUCAGGUAGGGAUACCCGCUGAACUUAAGCAUAUCAAUAAACGGAGGA